UACCAGCACCCCGAGUGGUCGGGACGAUUAUUGGGCCUAAAGCCUCCGUAGCCGGUUCUACAAGUCUUCCGUUAAAUCCACCUGCUUAACAGAUGGGCUGCAGAGGAUACUAUAGAGCUAGGAGGCGGGAGAGGCAAGCGGUACUUAGUGGGUAGGGGUAAAAUCCGUUGAUCCAUUGAAGACCACCAGUGGCGAAGGCGGCUUGCCAGAACGCACUCGACGGUGAGGGAUGAAAGCUGGGGGAGCAAACCGG
rnacentral:rRNA from 1 species